rnacentral:rRNA from 1 species
CCUACGGGAUGCAGCAGUAGGGAAUUUUCGGCAAUGGGGGGAACCCUGACCGAGCAACGCCGCGUGAACGAAGAAGUUAUUCGUAAUGUAAAGUUCUUUUAACAGGGAAGAAAGAGAAAUUUGACGGUACCUGAAGAAUAAGCUCCGGCUAACUACGUGCCAGCAGCCGCGGUAAUACGUAGGGAGCGAGCGUUAUCCGUAAUUAUUGGGCGAAAAGGGUGCGUAGAUGGCUUAGUAAGUCUUUUGUAAAAAUGCUGGGCUCAACCCAGUAGGUCAAAAGAUACUGCAAAGCUAGAGUAUGACAGAGGCAAGUGGAACUACAUGUGUAGCGGUAAAAUGCGUAAAUAUAUGUAAGAACACCAGUGGCGAAGGCGGCUUGCUGGGUCGAUACUGACAUUGAGGCACGAAAGCGUGGGGAGCAAACAGGAUUAGAUACCCUUGUAGUC